rnacentral:rRNA from 1 species
UACGGAGGAUGCAAGCGUUAUCCGGAAUUAUUGGGCGUAAAGCGUCCGCAGGUGGUUAUCCAAGUCUGCUGUUAAAGCGCGAGGCUUAACUUCGUACAGGCAGUGGAAACUGGGUGACUGGAGUAUGGUAGGGGUAGCGGGAAUUCCCAGUGUAGCGGUGAAAUGCGUAGAUAUUGGGAAGAACACCAGCGGCGAAAGCGCGCUACUGGGCCAUUACUGACACUCAUGGACGAAGGCUAGGGGAGCGAAAGGG